AUAAUUUCAUUUUUUUUUGCAGGCUGCCAGCAAUAUUCAGUCACAAGAGUGUAUGAAAAAAAACAAACCACCAAACCCAAAACCUAUCCCCAGCAUCCUCAGAUGUCAGAAGUGCUCCACAAAGGAUGCUGGUGCUGUUAUCCAUGAUUUCUGGAGGAGGCACAGGAAGGCUGCCAAGCAAGGUGGUGGUAGUCAGGAGCCUGUAUCAACGUGCUGUCUGCCAGCCCGUGCAAAGAAAGCAGUGAAAGAGUAGACAGCAAGAGCGACUAAGGAUAUUGAAAAAUGUCUCUGCUGAAAGCGACUGGGAACAGUGAGACUGUUUAGCUUCGGAUCAGCUAAGAGUGAACACAACAAUUUUGCAAAUAUUUCUGCCAAAUCACUCAAGCCUGAGCAUUCAGACAUACCCCCUUUUUCUCUCAUAUACUUGAGAUGGCCUUUGAACAAGCGAUAAACACCUGAGGCAGCUUGCAAUUUCAUUGUUAACAUUCAAUUUAUACUUUUGCAGAGUUAUAUUUGGUACAAGGGAAGUGAUAGCACUGAGCUGGUCAUUCACAUUUCCAAUAGGUGCCUGCAUCUGUGCCCAGCUAAGACAGGUUAUUAUGCUUUGUACUUAGACUUGUUCUUAUUAGACAUUGCUGCAUGGCCUUUGCUUGUAAAAACUGACAUGAAUGAAUGAGAAAAAUGGGGGUUACAACUCACCCAUCUGCAGUUUAAAAUAUACAGGGAACCUUGAGUAGAAGAAUUCAAGAAAUGAGAGCAAAAGGUGAAGGCUUAGUGUCACAAUGAAAGCUAUGCAUUUCCCUCAGCAAAUAACCUUAUCUCUAGGACAGAAAUUAGAUUGAGCAUCUAGAUAUGGAGCAGACAUGAAUGAAGUCAAUUACUGACUCAACUACCUAUACACAAGCACAAAUGUCUACCUGAAGUGGUUUGCUGUAAAAGAUUUUCAGACUAGAAAACUUUAAAAGAGCGAUAUGAUCUAGGGAAUUUGCAAAGCUGUCAUUAACUAUUGCAACUGUGAAGUGACCCUGUUCUGUUUUCAGUCUUUGCUGCUAAUUAUAAUACACAAUAUUCUAUCCAGGGCACAUUGCCAAUUUUGACAGGAAGAAGACUCAUCAUGUUUUAGGCUUGACAAAGCGUGGAGAGAUUAUUUGUUCAAUAAAUGCAAUCAUUUUGUGGCUGAAUGUUUUAUU
rnacentral:lncRNA from 1 species